CAUUAAGAAGCUAUGUACCAGCACUAGCCUUUUAAGCUAGAGACAGAGGAUUCUCCCCUCCUUAAUGA
rnacentral:tRNA from 1 species